GCCAGUAGCUCAUCUGGUAGAGCGUCCCGCUGUACAGCGGGGAGGUAGCGGGUUCAAGUCCUGUUUGGCA
rnacentral:tRNA from 1 species